AUUGAACGCUGGCGGCAGGCCUAACACAUGCAAGUCGAGCGGAUGAAGGGAGCUUGCUCCUGGAUUCAGCGGCGGACGGGUGAGUAAUGCCUAGGAAUCUGCCUGGUAGUGGGGGAUAACGUCCGGAAACGGGCGCUAAUACCGCAUACGUCCUGAGGGAGAAAGUGGGGGAUCUUCGGACCUCACGCUAUCAGAUGAGCCUAGGUCGGAUUAGCUAGUUGGUGGGGUAAAGGCCUACCAAGGCGACGAUCCGUAACUGGUCUGAGAGGAUGAUCAGUCACACUGGAACUGAGACACGGUCCAGACUCCUACGGGAGGCAGCAGUGGGGAAUAUUGGACAAUGGGCGAAAGCCUGAUCCAGCCAUGCCGCGUGUGUGAAGAAGGUCUUCGGAUUGAAAAGCACUUUAAGUUGGGAGGAAGGGCAGUAAGUUAAUACCUUGCUGUUUUGACGUUACCAAUAGAAUAAGCACCGGCUAACUUCGUG
rnacentral:rRNA from 1 species